CGGGAGGUGGAGGUUGCAGUGAGCUGAGAUCAUGCCACUUUACUCCAGCUUGGGCAACAGAGCAAGACUGUCUCAAAGAAAAAAAAAAGAAAGAAAAAGAAAAAAAAAAAAGGCAGGACCUCUUUCCUGUCCCCCAGGGCAGCCCCUGGCAGAGUGAACUUCAAGUCAGAGUGAACUUUGAGUCAGAGAGAGUGGGGUUUCCCUCACUGACCUCUCUGAGCUGG
rnacentral:lncRNA from 10 species